UCUGUGCUUCUAUUUCUUUACCUGCAGUUGUUUCAACACCUGGAAAGCCAGCAGCUCCUGGCGAAGGUCAUCUCCACACUUGACAAUGACUGAAAGGAGUCGCCAAUUGGGAAGAUGGCCAUAAGGGGAACCUUCUCUGAUCCUCCUGUGAAGAAAGAAGUCACAGGAUGAUGCCAGGCUCAAGCAAUGUCUCAGCUGCACCUUCAGGGCCUCAAGUACCAAACAAGGACAGAAUAAGGAGAUAAAGGAGAGACACAAAGCUGACAGCUGGUAACCAGACACAGGACAAAGAGGCAGAAUGAAGAAGAUGAAGAUGAAGGACGAUGUGAUUGGGCCAUACCGGAUGUCCCCUGCUGCAAUGAACACAGGCUCCUUGCUCUCCUGGCUGGUGAUGCUGUCCACCGAGAACUGGGAGAUGUUGUCACAGCUGUUGGUGUGCACUUCAGGGAGCUGGGAAAGAGCAGGUCAGAAGUGCUAAACACAGAUCUCCCUCUUGCUCUCUGCUCAUCUGCCACUACCUAUGGUAUGGUGGCCUACCACUCCACUCCAGCCUUCUCCCUAAGCCACCAUGGUUCCACAUCACUGUGGCUUUGAGCCAUGGAUCCCACAGCAAUGUUCUCAAAGUGUGAACUACUCCAAUAGAAUUCAUGGAAAAGCAUAGGAAGUGCAGAUUCUCAGUUCUGACCAUCAGUCCAAAUUAGAACUACUGGGAAUGAUAUCUAGAAGCUGCAUUUUUGUGAACUUUCUAGAAUACUCCCAACACUAAGAAUGGUCUCAAACUCCUGCUUUCCCAGCUUCCACAUCAGUGCUGGGACUAUAGGUGAACCACCACACCCAGUUUCUUCAGGCUAAAUCUCCACCUAAUCUCCUCACUCUUAUCUAUAAAAUAUUCUGCCAGGCCCCAAGAAGUCUCUGUCCUUCCUUUUACAAAGUACUCUCAAUUACACCUGCCAUCUAAUACACAGUGACACGUGUAUCUUCAUUUUUCUUCUGCCAGCUCCACAGUGCCGCUUGAGUUUCUUUUCAUGGCUACCAGAGCUGAGUGAGUGCACUGCCUGUCAGGGCUGUACCAGCUUCUCUAGCCUCACUCACUCAUCACUGCUCCUCACCUCACUACGCAUCAGCGCAUACAGUUUCUUUUCAUCCCUAUCAUGGCCAUGUUGCAUUUUCUCUUCCUCAAUCUGAAUGGUCUGAAUGUUCUUUGUUCUGCUAAUUAAACCAUGCUUCCAGCCUCA